CAAUAGCGUAUAUUAAAGUUGUUGCAGUUAAAAAGCUCGUAGUUGGAUUUCUGGUCGGAAGCUCCUGUCCUCUGAUGAGCGUACAAGUGCGUCCUACCAUCCUUCUGUUAACCUUUAAGGCUUUCGCGGCUUUCUAGGGGCUCAGAUAUUUUACCUUGAGAAAAUUAGAGUGUUUCAGGCAGGCUAGCGCCGGAAUACAUUAGCAUGGAAUAGUGGAAUAGGACUUUUGCCUCUUCUGUUGGUCAUGAGGCUCGAGUAAUGAUUAAUAGGGAUAGUUGGGGGCAUUAGUACUUAACUGUCAGAGGUGAAAUUCUCGGAUUUGUUAAAGACUAACUUAUGCGAAAGCAUUUGCCAAGGAUGUUUUCAUUAA
rnacentral:rRNA from 1 species